AUCCUUACCUGUCUGGCCACAGGGUGCCAUGACCACGAGGGUGAUUAUUCCAGGCCAAGCCUUGUCCAUUGCAUUCUGGAAGUGCUGACUACCGUAAUUUCCCCAAAUGUGGGAAACUCAGCUGCAUAAUUUGUGGUAGUGGGGGGCUGUGUUUUUGCUUCAA
rnacentral:snRNA from 1 species